rnacentral:pre_miRNA from 1 species
AGUAGAAUUGCUGGGUCAUAUGAUAAUUCUAUGAAGAACUCUUUAAGAAAUUGCCAUACUAUUUUCUACAGUGGAUGUAUCAUUUUACAAUCCCACCAGCAAU